rnacentral:rRNA from 1 species
ACUGCGAAUGGCUCAUUAAAUCAGUUAUCGUUUAUUUGAUAGUACCUUACUACUUGGAUACCCGUGGUAAUUCUAGAGCUAAUACAUGCAAAAAACCCCGACUUCUGAAGGGGUGUAUUUAUUAGAUAAAAAACCAAUGCCCUUCGGGGCUCUUUGGUGAUUCAUGAUAACUUAACGGAUCGCAUGGCCUUGCGCCGGCGACGGUUCAUUCAAAUUUCUGCCCUAUCAACUUUCGAUGGUAAGGUAUUGGCUUACCAUGGUUUCAACGGGUAACGGAUUUUUAGGGAAAGAUCCCGGAGAGGGAGCCUGAGAAACGGCUACCACAUCCAAGGAAGGCAGCAGGCGCGCAAAUUACCCAAUCCUGAUACAGGGAGGUAGUGACAAUAAAUACUGAUACAGGGCUCUUUUGGGUCUUGUAAUCGGAAUGAGUACAAUUUAAAUACCUUAACGAGGAACAAUUGGAGGGCAAGUCUGGUGCCAGCAGCCGCGGUAAUUCCAGCUCCAAUAGCGUAUAUUAAAGUUGUUGCAGUUAAAAAGCUCGUAGUUGAACCUUGGGCCUGGCUGGCCGGUCCGCCUCACCGCGUGUACUGGUCCGGCCGGGCCUUUCCUUCUGGAGAACCGCAUGCCCUUCACUGGGUGUGCCGGGGACCAGGACUUUUACUUUGAGAAAAUUAGAGUGUUCAAAGCAGGCCUUUGCUCGAAUACNUUAGCAUGGAAUAAUAGAAUAGGACGUGCGGUCCUAUUUUGUUGGUUUCUAGAACCGCCGUAAUGAUUAAUAGGGAUAGUCGGGGGCGUCAGUAUUCAAUUGUCAGAGGUGAAAUUCUUGGAUCUAUUGAAGACUAACUACUGCGAAAGCAUUCGCCAAGGAUGUUUUCAUUAAUCAGUGAACGAAAGUUAGGGGAUCGAAGACGAUCAGAUACCGUCGUAGUCUUAACCGUAAACUAUGCCGACUAGGGAUCGGGCGAUGUUUCUUUCUUGACUCGCUCGGCACUU